rnacentral:misc_RNA from 1 species
AAGUCGUAACAAGGUUUCCGUAGGUGAACCUGCGGAAGGAUCAUUACAGUGCCGUGGGGGCGUCGCGCCCAAAAAGCGUGAGCGUCCCUACACCUGGCCACCCGUGUCUACCGUACCUGUGUUGCUUCGGCGGGCCUGGCCCCUUGGGGGUUGGUCUGCCAGGAGGGGGGGGCUGAGCGUGCUUACUAUGCUCCCUCCCCCUUCUGCGCAGGACCCUCAGCGGCGAGCGUCCGCCGAAGGACCUCUUGAACUCUUUGUGAAUCAGUGUCGUCUGAGCGAUUGUUAAAAUCGUUAAAAACUUUCAACAAUGGAUCUCUUGGUUCUG